CGAGGUAGAUAGGGCAGAGGUGGAAGUGCAGCAAUGCAUGGAGCUGACUGUUACUAAUCGGUCGAGGGCAUGACCA
rnacentral:rRNA from 1 species